rnacentral:ncRNA from 1 species
ACCGAUCUUUCGUCUAAGGAUGCCUAACCGCCGCACCAAUCAUUAGGGUGGGACACUGCAAGGUGGGUAGUUUAUCUGGGGCGGAUGCCUCCUAAAGAGUAACAGAGGUGUACGAAGGUAGGCUCAUGCUAAGAUUCUGCUCGUGAGCGUAAUGGUAUAAGCCUACCUGAGUGUGAGACCAACUGGUCGACAGAGACAAAAGUCGGCCAUAGUGAUUUGAGAGUCCCGUGUGGAAGUGCUCUCGCUCAACGGAUA